rnacentral:rRNA from 1 species
GACGAACGCUGGCGGCGUGCUUAACACAUGCAAGUCGAACGGAAAGGCCCUGCUUUUGUGGGGUGCUCGAGUGGCGAACGGGUGAGUAACACGCGAGUAACCUGCCCUUGACUUUGGGAUAACUUCAGGAAACUGGGGCUAAUACCGGAUAGGAGCUCCUGCUGCAUGGUGGGGGUUGGAAAGUUUCGGCGGUUGGGGAUGGACUCGCGGCUUAUCAGCUUGUUGGUGGGGUAGUGGCUUACCAAGGCUUUGACGGGUAGCCGGCCUGAGAGGGUGACCGGCCACAUUGGGACUGAGAUACGGCCCAGACUCCUACGGGAGGCAGCAGUGGGGAAUAUUGCACAAUGGGCGGAAGCCUGAUGCAGCAACGCCGCGUGCGGGAUGACGGCCUUCGGGUUGUAAACCGCUUUCGCCUGUGACGAAGCGUGAGUGACGGUAAUGGGUAAAGAAGCUCCGGCUAACUACGUG